rnacentral:lncRNA from 1 species
CGGCCUUUUACACAGCACAGCACCCAGCCCUCGGCAGCCCAGAGCAGGAACCAACAGGGUAGGUGCCCAGGGGCCCCAAAGGUCAGAGUUCCUCGCACAGCUGCCAGGGAGCACAGGGACCGCAGCACAGGGUCUUCUGCUCAGCACCGGGACCCCGCUCGCUGCAGCUAAAGAAACAGAUACGUCCAAGGGCUCCACGGCCGGGGCCGGGCACCUGGAACAGGGUGGUCCUGGGGCGGCCACAUCCACUCCUUCCAGCUAACACUUCACAGAGAUGUCUGACUGAUGUCCACUGCUCAGCUGCACCCCUGAGCUGGUGAGCAUUCAGGUAGAGCACCCACCUCUACUUUUCUCACCCCGAAAAUCAGAGACUGGUUCUCAGCUGGUGCAGCCACCGCCCCAGCGUACCGGAUGCAGGACUUUCCCUGCGAACACUGGACAGUCCCAGCAAAGCAGACGGUGGGUCGCUCUGUAUCUCUGAAGAACAGCUGGGCCUGCGUGUGUCAUUCUCAGGCAUCUGGCCCAGGGCUUCUCCUCCAGGAAGGUGGCUGCUCAGCUCCGGGCACUGCCAGGGGCCACGGACCCCGCCUCCUUUCCAGGCUGUUCCACAGCAUCUGCCUUCAUACUCACAGCCACCGCGGCGUGCGUCCCAGGGAUUCUCAGAAUAGAAUUCUGUGCCUCUCUCGCCUCUGGAAGUGACCGCGCUCUGUAGGAAAAUAUCACAGCACGCCGGCCUCGAAAGGCCACGACGUGGCUCUAAACUGCUCUAAGUAUGUCAGUUACUUAGAACAAUCAGAAAGGGGCAGAACAAGCUGGGGUGUGGAGUCAGGGGUCAGGGCACAGACAGCACCUCUUGUCUUGCAGAGAGAAUGCUAGCAAUUUGCAAGUUACUUGAAAAGGUUUGUGAUUUUCCAACGCCCUGAGUAAUUCUAGCCAAAAUGCGUGACUCGCCUCACACUAGAUGCUUGCUGUAAUUGUGUCUCUGUAUUAAACUGACCGUUCUUUGGAGCUUCAGAAUGGACCAGGAGGAAAAGGUAAAUACCAACCUCGCUACAACCUCAGAGGCAUCAACGCCCUCCUGCUACAGACGCAUCUGUUCUCGCCUGGCUCCUGCCGGCUGCCCUGGGAGAGGCCACAAAAUGCCCUCCACGGAGACAAGGCCUGAGAACCUUCGGGACGCCCGCUGCCGCUCACUGUGUUGAAGAACUGCCCGUUCCGCACCCCGGGCCCUAGACACACGGCUCUGUGGAGGACGAGGAAGUGCCGUCAGGUGAGACUUCACCGUGAAAUAUCUUCUGAGACACAACAAUCUCCCUGAAUUAAAACUACAGACUCUAAUUUAUAAAAACUGUGUGUUUCAAAAGCUCCAAGUGUUUACAUUCUCCGAUUCAUCAUUCCUUCUUCUAAUUUAUUUUAGGAAAUAAUGCAAAGUACUCACAAAAAUUUAUAUAGAAAGAUGUUCAUUGCAGAA